rnacentral:rRNA from 1 species
GCUUAACACAUGCAAGUCGAGCGAGAAUCGUUUUGCUGAAGGCUUCGGUCCGAUGCAGAAUGAGGAAAGCGGCGAACGGGUGAGUAACGCGUGGGCAACCUGGCCUUAAGAAAAGGAUAGCCCCCGGAAACGGGGAGUAACACUUUAUGAGAAUAGAAAAGGGCAUCCUGUUUCUAUUCAAAGCGCAAGCGCUUAAGGAUGGGCCCGCGUAUCAUUAGCUAGUUGGUGAGAUAACAGCCCACCAAGGCAACGAUGAGUGGCCGGUCUGAGAGGGCGAACGGCCACAUUGGAACUGAGAGACGGUCCAAACUCCUACGGGAGGCAGCAGUGGGGAAUAUUGCGCAAUGGAGAAGAACUCUGACGCAGCAAUACCGCGUGAGCGAAGAAGGUCUUCGGAUCGUAAAGCUCUGUUAUCAGGGAAGAAGAAAAUGACGGUACCUGAUGAGCAAGUCCCGGCUAACUACGUGCCAGCCGCCGCCGUAAUAC